UGGGGAAUAUUGCACAAUGGGCGCAAGCCUGAUGCAGCCAUGUCGCGUGUAUGAAGAAGGCCUUCGGGUUGUAAAGUACUUUCAGCGGGGAGGAAGGUGUUGUGGUUAAUAACCACAGCAAUUGACGUUACCCGCAGAAGAAGCACCGGCUAACUCCGUGCCAGCAGCCGCGGUAAUACGGAGGGUGCAAGCGUUAAUCGGAAUUACUGGGCGUAAAGCGCACGCAGGCGGUCUGUCAAGUCGGAUGUGAAAUCCCCGGGCUCAACCUGGGAACUGCAUCCGAAACUGGCAGGCUUGAGUCUUGUAGAGGGGGGUAGAAUUCCAGGUGUAGCGGUGAAAUGCGUAGAGAUCUGGAGGAAUACCGGUGGCGAAGGCGGCCCCCUGGACAAAGACUGACGCUCAGGUGCGAAAGCGUGGGGAGCAAACA
rnacentral:rRNA from 1 species